rnacentral:misc_RNA from 1 species
AGAUAGACCAAGAAACAGAGUGAUGAAAAAGAAACUGAGAUGUACUACUUUUAAACGUAGAAAAACAUUCCGAUGGCUCCUUGCUAAGUCUUCUUCAACAGCAAAUAAUUGGUGUUCAUCAUAUUGAAAACCAUAGACUAGUCAGUAGAUAAGCCCUCAACUUCCAAUAGGACAGUGGCUUACCAAAUAAAAUUAGGCAAACAAAAUGGACAUACAAAGUCAAUGUUUAUAGAAAGAUUUGCAAGAAAAAAAAAAAAUACACACACUU